rnacentral:rRNA from 1 species
AUUGAACGCUGGCGGCAGGCUUAACACAUGCAAGUCGAGCGAGCGGCGGACGGGUGAGUAAUGUCUAGGAAACUGCCUGAUGGAGGGGGAUAACUAAUGGAAACUGUAGCUAAUACCGCAUACCAUCAUAUGUUCCCAGAUGGGAUUAGCUGGUAGGUGGGGUAAUGGCUAACCUAGGCUACGAUCCCUAGCUGGUCUUAGAGGAUGACCAGCCACACGGGAACUAAGACACGGUCCAGACUCCUACGGGAGGCAGCAGUGGGGAAUAUUGCAAAAUGGGCGCAAGCCUGAUGCAGCCAGGCCGCGGGUGGGAAGAAGGCCUUCGGGUUGUAAAGCACUUUCAGCAAGGAGGCGUUACUCGCAGAAGAAGCACCGGCUAACUCCGUGCCAGCAGCCGCGGUAAUUC